rnacentral:tRNA from 1 species
AAAAACUUAGGUUAAUUAAACCGAGGGCCUUCAAAGCCCUAAACAAGGAUUGUGCCCCCUUAGUUUUUG